rnacentral:rRNA from 1 species
GAAGUAAAAGUCGUAACAAGGUUUCCGUAGGUGAACCUGCGGAAGGAUCAUUAUUGAAAUAAACCUGAUGGGUUGUUGCUGGUUCUCUAGGGAGCAUGUGCACGCUUGUCAUCUUUAUAUCUCCACCUGUGCACCUUUUGUAGAUCUGGAUAUCUUUCUGAAUGCCUGGCAUUCAGGUUUGGGGAUUGACUUUGCUCUUUCCUUACAUUUCCAGACCUAUGUUUUCUUYAUAUACACCAUGUAUGUUAUAGAAUGUAAUAGUAAGGCCUUUGUGCCUACAAACCUAUACAACUUUCAGCAACGGAUCUCUUGGCUCUCGCAUCGAUGAAGAACGCAGCGAAAUGCGAUAAGUAAUGUGAAUUGCAGAAUUCAGUGAAUCAUCGAAUCUUUGAACGCACCUUGCGCUCCUUGGUAUUCCGAGGAGCAUGCCUGUUUGAGUGUCAUUAAUAUAUCAACCUCCUCAGGUUUUUACUUGUCGAGUGUUUGGAUGUGGGGGUCUCUUUUGCUGGUCUCUUUUGAGUUCAGCUCCCCUGAAAUGCAUUAGCGGGAACAAUUUGUUGACUCGUUCAUUGGUGUGAUAACUAUCUACGCUAUUGACGUGAAAUCAGSUUCCGCUUCUAACAGUCCAUUGACUUGGACAAAAUUUCAUUAAUGUGACCUCAAAUCAGGUAGGACUACCCGCUGAACUUAAGCAUAUCAAUAAGCGGAGGAAAAGAAAACUAACAAGGAUUCCCCUAGUA